rnacentral:rRNA from 1 species
GAAUUCGCCCUUAGAGUUUGAUCCUGGCUCAGGAUGAACGCUGGCGGCGUGCUUAACACAUGCAAGUCGAACGGACUCAUAUUGAAACCUAGUGAUUUAUGAGUUAGUGGCGGACGGGUGAGUAACGCGUGGAUAACCUGCCGUAUACCGGGGGAUAACACUUAGAAAUAGGUGCUAAUACCGCAUAAGCGCACGGUCCCGCAUGGGACAGUGUGAAAAACUCCGGUGGUGCAAGAUGGACCCGCGUCUGAUUAGCUGGUUGGCGGGGUAAAGGCCCACCAAGGCGACGAUCAGUAGCCGGACUGAGAGGUUGGCCGGCCACAUUGGGACUGAGACACGGCCCAGACUCCUACGGGAGGCAGCAGUGGGGAAUAUUGGGCAAUGGGCGCAAGCCUGACCCAGCAACGCCGCGUGAAGGAAGAAGGCCUUUCGGGUUGUAAACUUCUUUUCUCAGGGACGAAGAAAGUGACGGUACCUGAGGAAUAAGCCACGGCUAACUACGUGCCAGCAGCCGCGGUAAUACGUAGGUGGCAAGCGUUAUCCGGAUUUACUGGGUGUAAAGGGCGUGUAGGCGGGAAAGCAAGUCAGAUGUGAAAACCAUGGGCUCAACCUGUGGCCUGCAUUUGAAACUGUUUUUCUUGAGUACUGGAGAGGCAGACGGAAUUCCUCGUGUAGCGGUGAAAUGCGUAGAUAUGAGGAGGAACACCAGUGGCGAAGGCGGUCUGCUGGACAGCAACUGACGCUGAGGCGCGAAAGCGUGGGGAGCAAACAGGAUUAGAUACCCUGGUAGUCCACGCUGUAAACGAUGGAUACUAGGUGUGGGGGGACUGACCCCCUCCGUGCCGCAGUUAACACAAUAAGUAUCCCACCUGGGGAGUACGAUCGCAAGGUUGAAACUCAAAGGAAUUGACGGGGGCCCGCACAAGCGGUGGAGUAUGUGGUUUAAUUCGAAGCAACGCGAAGAACCUUACCAGGGCUUGACAUCCCGGUGACCGGCAUAGAGAUAUGCUUUUCUCUUCGGAGACACCGGUGACAGGUGGUGCAUGGUUGUCGUCAGCUCGUGUCGUGAGAUGUUGGGUUAAGUCCCGCAACGAGCGCAACCCUUAUUGUUAGUUGCUACGCAAGAGCACUCUAGCGAGACUGCCGUUGCCAAAACGGAGGAAGGUGGGGACGACGUCAAAUCAUCAUGCCCCUUAUGUCCUGGGCCACACACGUACUACGAUGGUGGUCAACAGAGGGAAGCAAAGCCGCGAGGUGGAGCAAAUCCCUAAAAGCCAUCCCAGUUCGGAUCGCAGGCUGCAACCCGCCUGCGUGAAGUUGGAAUCGCUAGUAAUCGCGGAUCAGCAUGCCGCGGUGAAUACGAUCCCGGGCCUUGUACACACCGCCCGUCA